rnacentral:rRNA from 1 species
UGGGGAAUAUUGGACAAUGGGGGCAACCCUGAUCCAGCAAUGCCGCGUGUGUGAAGAAGGUCUUCGGAUUGUAAAGCACUUUCGACGGGGACGAUGAUGACGGUACCCGUAGAAGAAGCCCCGGCUAACUUCGUGCCAGCAGCCGCGGUAAUACGAAGGGGGCUAGCGUUGCUCGGAAUGACUGGGCGUAAAGGGCGUGUAGGCGGUUUACACAGUCAGAUGUGAAAUCCCCGGGCCUUAACCUGGGAGCUGCAUUUGAUACGUGUAGACUAGAGUGUGAGAGAGGGUUGUGGAAUUCCCAGUGUAGAGGUGAAAUUCGUAGAUAUUGGGAAGAACACCGGUGGCGAAGGCGGCAACCUGGCUCAUUACUGACGCUGAGGCGCGAAAGCGUGGGAGCAAACA